rnacentral:lncRNA from 1 species
GUGGAAUCAAGAUACCUUAAGAACAAUCCGAGUCGUAAUGAAUUGACUGUAAUGAAGAGACUGGCUCCCAGGGAAACCAUGAAGCUAUAACUAAACAACCCUUUCAAACCUCACAGUGAGUUUUCUGAGGGGUAGGAAGAGGAGGUACAGAAAGUUCCAGAAAUGCAUGUACUGGGCGGCUGAUGGUUGUGCAAGACAGUUCAGCCUUCCUCGUUCAUACCUAGAGGUCAAUAGGUCAUGAUUAAAUCUUCAAAAACGCAAAGCAGAAGCUGGCUCACAGUCAGUUCUUCAAACUCCGCACAACUCCUGGCAUCCUCUGUACAGUUGCUCCUAAAAAGACAUCACUGCCAUAUUCAGUAUGGAAAAUAAAAAGGUUUUGAUUGCAACAAAAAUGUCAAGAGUAAGAGAGAAGCAUGAUACAACUGAAAUCCAUGUCCUCCAAUCAGUUCUUGACUGCCCUAAGCACAGCUGAGCCAAUCCUUGUACGCACGCAACGAAGGCUGUGGGGACCAGCAAUGCUUCAAGGACGCUAACCUCAUAAUGUUAGCAUUCACUCCAAAGAGGUACUGUGUCCACAAGGCCACAGAAUCCACAGGGACAGCUCAGCAGCUGUGCAGGAGAUGCCACCAUCUCCAGAGAUCAGUUUCAGAGAGGACUUUGGGCUGACUAUUCAGGUCCAUUCAGACCUGAAUGGACCCACUGCAACUGGUCAGAGACUAUCACCUUUGUGAGUCAAGGAAUAAAAAAAAAAAAACUUUUCUGGCUUUGGUUUGCACACGAAGCAGAGAUGUGUAGAUACUACCGGCAAAUGUUUUACUAAGUUUCAGAAUCUUAUCAAGAGGCACAUUCACGACAAACUGUGACCAUCACCCAGUAACGGAAUGUUCAGAGCAAUGACGAUGACGAAGGUACCAGGGACGGCAGCUAGCCUUUUAGGCAUCUGCCAGGCUCAUAUAUCUGAACACCAGGAUUAGACUCCAAGGCUGCAGCCCCAAGUCUAGAAGCCAAUCUCAGACCUUACCAGCCUCAUAAAGCUUACGAGCUAUGGCAUGAAAGAGGAAGUGGUCUCUGUAUAUGGAAAUAAAUGAAUGGGAAGUGGCUUAAAAUUUCCAAAUAGUUUUUCUUUCCUCUGCUUCCAGGAAAGUCUUGAUAGUAAAAGCAGCAAUUUGAGGAAAGUUGACUUCUAAACCA